rnacentral:rRNA from 1 species
AACGCUAGCUACAGGCUUAACACAUGCAAGUCGAGGGGCAGCAUUUUAGUUUGCUUGCAAACUAAAGAUGGCGACCGGCGCACGGGUGAGUAACACGUAUCCAACCUGCCGAUAACUCGGGGAUAGCCUUUCGAAAGAAGGAUUAAUAUCCGAUAGCAUAUUGAGAUCGCAUGAUUUUGAUAUUAAAGAAUUUCGGUUAUCGAUGGGGAUGCGUUCCAUUAGUUUGUUGGCGGGGUAACGGCCCACCAAGACUACGAUGGAUAGGGGUUCUGAGAGGAAGGUCCCCCACAUUGGAACUGAGACACGGUCCAAACUCCUACGGGAGGCAGCAGUGAGGAAUAUUGGUCAAUGGACGAGAGUCUGAACCAGCCAAGUAGCGUGAAGGAUGACUGCCCUAUGGGUUGUAAACUUCUUUUAUAUGGGAAUAAAGUAUUCCACGUGUGGGAUUUUGUAUGUACCAUAUGAAUAAGGAUCGGCUAACUCCGUGCCAGCAGCCGCGGUAAUACGGAGGAUCCGAGCGUUAUCCGGAUUUAUUGGGUUUAAAGGGAGCGUAGGCCGUCUGUUAAGCGUGUUGUGAAAUGUAGAUGCUCAACAUCUGAAUUGCAGCGCGAACUGGCAGACUUGAGUGUGCGCAACGUAGGCGGAAUUCGUGGUGUAGCGGUGAAAUGCUUAGAUAUCACGAAGAACUCCGAUUG